UGCGUAGACGGUUAUUUAAGUCGGAUGUGAAAGCCCCGGGCUCAACCUGGGAAUUGCAUUCGAGACUGAAUAGCUAGGGUGCGGUAGAGGGAAGCGGAAUUUCCGGUGUAGCGGUGAAAUGCGUAGAUAUCGGAAGGAACAUCAGUGGCGAAAGCGGCUUCCUGGACCAGCACCGACGUUCAGGCACGAAAGCGUGGGGAGCAAACA
rnacentral:rRNA from 1 species